CUGAACCGACCUGACCCUGUCUCUAUACCCACUCCAACAUAACCCAAACUCACAAAACCCCUAAAAACCAACGCGACUGUUCUUCUCCUUCGAAGAACACGCGAAUCUAGCCCCAAAUUCCGUUCAAAUCCGAGCGACUGAAGCCUAAAUCCCUAAUUCACGCGUCCCUCCUUCUCUCAUCUCACCAAUUCUAACGAUUUAUGGCACUAAAAAUGCUCCCUCCCUUCACUCGCUCAGGUCAGAGAUUUAGCACGCGAUUGGAAGGUCCUAUAGACGAAUUGUUGGAUGAGGAUGAGUCGUUGGAUUGACUUCGUUCAAUCCAAGCCCCAUUUUCAUCAGGGGUUCGUCUCUAUAAAGGACGGGAUCUGAUUUUAAGAGAAGAGGUUUUUUCUAGGAGAGGAUCUGGAGGAAGAUUCGAGAGGGAGUAAAGAUUCCAGAUAUUAGUCUUCUUCAUAUUUUAUUAUUGGUUUUCAUUCGUAGUGUUAAUUUAAGAAAAAUAUACAAAAUGUUCGAUGUUCUGUGACUCUAUUGUUGUUUGGUUCACUGCCCACCCGCUUCGAAAUACAUGAAUUUCGUCCUCAAAGUUAAUGGAUCGUUGUUGAUCGAGGCAUCAAUUUGUGGCUAUUGUUGCAUUGCUGGAAUCCGAUUUUAAGAUAGAGGUUUUUUAGUGGAGAGGAUCGGAAGGCAAAUUCAAGAGGAGUAAAAUUCUAAAGCUUAGUGUUCUUCACAUUUAUUAUUGUUUUUUUUUCAUUCGUAGUGUUAAUUCUAAAAAAACAUAUACACAAAUGUUUGGAGUCCUGUGGCUCUAUUGUUGUUUGGUUCACUGUGCACCCGCUUCAAAAUACAUGAAUUACGUUCUCAAAGUUAUUGGAUUUUGUUGUUGAUCGAGGCGUCGAUUUGUGGCUGCUGUUGCAUUGCACCGAUUUCAAGUGUUGUUAUUCCUUCUCAUUUUGUUUCAGGUUUAUCUCUGCUCCUUCUAUUAUUUCCAUUGUGAAGUGAGUCCUGGAUGGCCCGUGACAGAUUGUUAAAAUGAAUUCAAUUGUGAUAAUAGACGAUGAUUGUAUGGUUACCCUCGACUUUAUUUAUUGUUAUGCUUUCAAUGUUCACCAUGGAUUCAUGUGUAGUGAGUCGGGUUCUGAAUAGACGAGGAGUAAAUUUUGUUUGGUUUCAACAUCGUAUUCGUGUUUAUACUGACUUCGAAGAUUGUUUUUAGUAUCAUCCUUCAGCUCAUACCUCCUUCGAAUUUGAUCCCCUACUGAUAUUGCAAAUUGGUAGAUUGUAGCUUUAUAUAGUGUCAAGGUUGUUUUCUUUUGCAUCUGUUCGAAAAAUAAGCUUUGACGAUCAUUCAACGUUGUUGUUUGAUUCAUCAAUGAGUGUCUAUGUCGUCUUUGAAAUGUUGAGAAUUGAACACCAUCAUAUAACCCAUAUUGUA
rnacentral:lncRNA from 1 species